ACAUGAGCAAUGGCUGGUUGGUUGACUGUCUUUGGAUACAUUUGAAGCCCAUGUAUUAUGUGCAGAUGUGGUUAGACUAUGUGAGGUUCAACAAAUGGAGCAUGUAUGUGCUUGUGCAUAGGUCAAUGGAAGAAGAAGCUGGGUGUUGAGUGGGAUGCCCCUAUUGCAGUAAUUGAUAGAUAGCUUGGAGUUCUUUGUAGAGGUUGCAGAACCCUUUGAUCAACUAUCUUUAAUGCUCUGGAGAUCAAUUCAUCGUAACAAUCAAUUCUCAUUUUUGAUUCUAGUUAUCAUAGGACUGUUCAUACUUAUAGCCUCUUUAUGUUCCUAUAGAUAUUCUGUUUGUCAGAGAUAUUGUAUAUAUCUUAGACCUUACCAUAUUAGUUAGCUACCCUUUAGACUUCUGUUUUGUUCAGUUACCAAACUCCUUAGCCUUUUUAUCCAAUCUGCAUCCUGACCUUCUCUGUCUCUCUGUAGAUCCAAAUUCUGAUUAGAUAGGAUAUUUAGUAUAUCUGAGUCCUUAUUAUUCCUCGAAUGCCUGAAUUGGCUGGUUCAUCAUACCCCUCUGUCUGUGUUCAUGUAAUUUCUUCUCAGUUUGAGUAGGAUCCAAUCGCUACUUCUUCCUCUUGAAGUUGUUUUCCCCUUGGCCAAUUUUCUGUUUUUUGGGAAUGAAAAUUGGGAAGGGGAAUAAUAGUUAGUUGUAUCAUUUUCUUUUCCUGGUCUUCGGUAAUCUUUCCAUCAGCUUUCCUCUUGCCAGUCCAUUAUCCCUGUUAAGUGGUUUAUUUCUUCUCAAGAAAAGUCCAUCUUGCCUAUGGAUAUUAUUGAUCAUAUCGUCAUUGAUAAGUUGGCGCUGUUCGAAGAAGUUUGUUGAAGUGGAUGUUCUCUCUGUGCUCACCAUGGUAGCACCACUUGUUGUUUUUCAUUUUGCUGUAGGAUACUUGCAGUCUCUGGGUCCUUCGACAAAUCUGGUAGUUACUACUGCAGUGAUUAUCUAGUUAUCCGAUGUUUUGGAUUUUGGAGCUUUUACGUUUGUCCUUGAUCUAAGGAACUUCUUGUUAAGAAGUCUAUGCUGCUUGCCUUAAGAAGUCUGUGCUGCUGUUAGAGCUUUUACUUUUGUCCUUGAACUUAGGAACUUGUUAUUCUUGUUUCUCUAAUUCUGUUGUUUGGCUUAAGAAGUCUAUGCUGCUGUAGAGUACUGCAGUGAUUUUCUAGUUAUGUUGAUGUUUUAAGUUUUAAGAGCUUUUACUUUUGUACUUGGAACUUAGGAACUUGUUAUUCUGUUUCUCUAAUACUGUUGUUUGGCUUGAGAA